CCUACGGGCGGCAGCAGUGAGGAAUAUUGGUCAAUGGGCGGGAGCCUGAACCAGCCAAGUCGCGUGAGGGAAGACGGUCCUAUGGAUUGUAAACCUCUUUAGGCGGGGAGCAAUGCCGGGCACGUGUGCCCGGAGGGAGAGUACCCGCAGAAUAAGCAUCGGCUAACUCCGUGCCAGCAGCCGCGGUAAUACGGAGGAUGCGAGCGUUAUCCGGAUUUAUUGGGUUUAAAGGGGGCGUAGGCGGAUUUUUAAGUCAGCGGUAAAAUGUCCGGGCUCAACCCGGGCCGGCCGUUGAAACUGGCAGUCUUGAGUGGGCGAGAAGUAUGCGGAAUGCGUGGUGUAGCGGUGAAAUGCAUAGAUAUCACGCAGAACUCCGAUUGCGAAGGCAGCAUACCGGCGCCCUACUGACGCUGAGGCACGAAAGCGUGGGUAUCGAACAGGAUUAGAUACCCCUGUAGUC
rnacentral:rRNA from 1 species